rnacentral:rRNA from 1 species
AGACGAACCGUCCAAACGUUAUUCGGAAUCACUGGGCUUAAAGGGUGCGUAGGCGGCCCCGCAAGUUGGGUGUGAAAUCCCUCGGCUCAACCGAGGAAUUGCGCCCAAAACUGCAGGGCUAGAGGGAGACAGAGGUGAGCGGAACUUGUGGUGGAGCGGUGAAAUGCGUUGAUAUCACAAGGAACACCUGUGGCGAAAGCGGCUCACUGGGUCUCUACUGACGCUGAGGCACGAAAGCUGGGGGAGCGAACGGGAUUAGAUACCCCGGUAGUCCCAGCUGUAAACGAUGAGCACUAGUCCGGAGGACCCCCCAUAGUUUUCCGGACGUAGCGAAAGUGUUAAGUGCUCCGCCUGGGGAGUAUGGUCGCAAGGCUGAA